AGCCUUCAGUAGCUGGUAGUGGAAGGAGGAGCUCUGACUACACUCUCACGACUGUUUUUUGCCUCUUGGUUCUUGUUAUGUCCCUUUCUUUUUGAAAUAAGACAGAAGGUCCCCACCUUCAUAGACAUAGAGAGAUCCCAUCUUAUUUGUUUUUAAAAAUAAAUUGAAAAGUGAGGCGGAGCCUUGUGAGGAUGAUGGGAGAGGGCUUCCAGAGAGGAAUUUCUUCUUUGGAAUUCCUGAAAUGGGAACAAACUUGUUUUGGGAAAAGGACAGAAAGACACAAAGGUGGCUGCAGCAGAGUGAAAUGAAUAUGAUGGGCUAAGGCCUCGUACACGUAGUGAGCAUUGACAAAGAAUAUGGACUUUAGUUGAGAUGGGAAACCACUGGAGGAUUACAGCCUGGGGAUUACUGUUAAUUCUCCAAGAAGAAGACUGACCAGCGGCUGUGUGAGAAUGUCCUGUAAUGCAGGCAAGGGUGGAAGCAGGGAGACCAGCUAGGAGGCUGGUGGCGAAGUGCAGGUUUGGACGCCCGCUCCAAGCGCUGGUUAAAAAUAAUAUGGAGACGGCACGGGAUUUGGCCUCUAGAAAAUAUAGGUCCCAUUGAAGAUGUGCAGGCGUCUGCACACGGCGGUGUGGAGGAGAAUAUGACAUCAGAUAUUGUAAGAUGUAUUUCUUUCUCUGGAAGAGAAAUGCUUUUUGUUUUUUCUGGGGCUUCUAGAAUAUCAAGUGAGUAUCAUUUUUGACUGCCAUCAUGAUUCAGGCCUCAGUGUCAUGGACUCUAGCGACCGGUCACUGGAGGUUAUGACCAGCUGAGGCCUGAUUGAAAAUGGCAGUCAAAGGACGGCAUCACUUACAAACUGUUUGGUAGUGAGUGUAUUUCUCAGUAGCAACCUUUUCUCCUUGAAAAAUAAUUUUGUAUUUGCCAGCCAACAUAGACUUGCUAAAUAUUCCAAAAAACCCACUGCAUGUUCCACAAGCAUCCUCUAUGCUUUAUUUGGGGGCCAGUGACUUGAUCACUGUUUCACAUCCGGUUUUUUAUUUCACCAAGUGAAUAAAGGCCUUUGCCAACAGAACCCAGCAUGAUCUGAUCCUCAUGGUGUUUUUUUUUUCUCUUAUUGCAGAGAAAGUCGAAAGCCCAGCGUCAAGUCUGUACAUAUACUUUUUUUUUUAAACAGCUUUAUUUAGACAUAGUUGACAUGCAAAACAACUCACCCAUUUAAAAUUUGGUCGAAGAUCUCAGUGAAUACCCAUCUGUCCAUCUUGAAGACCUCAUGACACCGGAGAUGGCAAAGGAGAGACGCGAAGAUUACCUCUGCUGGGUUAACAUGGCACAAUCUCGGCUCAAUGAACCCAUCAGCUCCCAGGUUUGAGGACUUCUCCGGCUUCCGCAUCCCGAGUAGCUGGGAUUACGGACGCCUGCCACCACACCCAGCUCAAAUCAUUUUAUGAAUGCAUAUUUCCAUCUGGGUGAAAAAAAAAUCACAAGCCUCUCUCUCUUCCUACUGAGCACCUGUGAACAGUGACCUGCAGUUUGUGGCUGCAGCCAGUCCUCAUGGAGCCUGCUGUUCUUACAUUUCAUUCUGAGGCUCACAUUCUCAGUCACCAUGCAGAAGAACACCCGCCCCAUCCUGGGUCAUUACAGAGUGGGCCAAUCCAUCUGCUGCAUCUGAGGAGCUGGGUCCAGCUUCUACGGUGAAUCCAUAUAUUUCUGUAUUUCCUGGAUAAGGAAGAGGAAAGGAGCUGAGCUGGUGGAGGAAGAAGAUCUAAUAUUAACUGACUCCUUAUUUUGUACCAGCAAAGCAGUUGCCGCUACAGACUGAAUGCAUUUGGGCCAUCCGUGGGUUAGUGGGUUCACGGAAUUCACAUCAAAUCAGAAUCAAAACCAAAACCAAAGUGCAGAUAAAGGCACGCCCGUUCGUCAAGCAGUUUAAACCAAGUGAAAAUCAAAACCAAAACCAAAACCAAAGUGCUGAUAAAGGCACGCUGUGGGUGAUCAGGCCAUGCUUCCACUCAAAUGGAGUGGACAAGUUCCCAAGACCGGUCCUGUCAAGCAGCUCAAACCAAGUCAAAAUCAAAACCAAAACCAAAGUGCUGAUAAAGGCACGCCCGUUUGCCUAGGAAUUCAAACCAAGUCAAAAUCAAAACCAAAACCAAAGUGCCGAUAAAGGCAUGCCGUGGGUGAUCAGGCCACGCUUCCACUCAAAUGGAGUGGGCAAGUUCCCAAGACCAGUCCUACCGUAUUCCAGAUAUCUGGACUCCAAGCGCCAGUUCCUUCCCGGUGUUCAGCCACUGCACUGAUCCUCUGCGGGGGCCUGCCAUGCACUGCUCUGACGAGGCAUUGCACCGGGGCAAAUGCCUACCCAGGAGCAUGCUCAGGAACCGCGUAGCUCAAGCUGGCCGGAGUCCCCUGCAGGGAUGCUCCACAGGGCAAGCCUAAGCUGCCUAAGAGGCUGCCUCGCUUCCCGGUCAGGGAACCAAGAAAUGUAGCAGGAUGAGCCACAGACAAAACUCCUCAGACACCGGGUUAAACAAGGAAGAGGCUUUAUUCGGCCGGGAAAUCGGCAGACUUGCGUCUCAAGAACAGAACUAAGCUCCCCGAAGAAAGAGUUCCUGGCCCUUUUAAGGGCUUACAACUCUAAGGGGUCCAGGUGACAGGGUCGUGAUAGACUGAGCAAGCAUGGGGUACGUGACUAGGUGGGGGUAAGCAAGUCAAGGACGUGUCAACAUAGAGACUUAGGAGGACAAAGUGAACUUCCUGAUCCCCAACAGGCAGAUCCCCAAAAGCCAAAAUGUAUGUGUCACCUUGGAAGAUGACGCACCAGGAAGAAUGGGGAGGAGGGAGGAGGAAAAACUGCUGAUGAGGCCGACUCGCUCUUUGGGGCUUAUCAUAUCAGCAAAGCCAGCUCUUUUGAGAUGGAAGAACAAAGAUGUUUCUCCUCUGUGAGGAGGUGACAGUGGUGUUCUGGGUGAAGGAGAGCAGCUUUGUCCUGGAAGGAAUCUGACUUGGAAGGAGGCCCAGUUGUCCAGCAGUGGAUAUGACGUCAGAUAUUGACACAGCCAACAAUCGACUCAUCAUUUCUGAAGACCUGUGGAGUGUCCAUUGUGG
rnacentral:lncRNA from 1 species